GAUGAAGAACGUAGUGAAAUGCGAUAAGUAAUGUGAAUUGCAGAACUCAGUGAAUCAUCGAAUCUUUGAACGCACAUUGCGCCCCCUGGCCUUCCGGGGGGCAUGCCUGUUCGAGCGUCAUUGCUGCCCUCAAGCACGGCUUGUGUGUUGGGCCUCCGUCCUCCUCCCGGGGGACGGGCCCGAAAGGCAGCGGCGGCACCGCGUCCGGUCCUCGAGCGUAUGGGGCUUCGUCACCCGCUCUUGUAGGCCCGGCCGGCGCUUGCCGACACAUCAAUCUUUUUUCCAGGUUGACCUCGGAUCAGGUAGGGAUACCCGCUGAACUUAAGCAUAUCAAUAAGCGGAGGA
rnacentral:misc_RNA from 1 species